rnacentral:rRNA from 1 species
UACGUAGGGGGCAAGCGUUGUCCGGAAUCAUUGGGCGUAAAGCGCGUGUAGGCGGCCCGGUAAGUCCGCUGUGAAAGUCGGGGGCUCAACCCUCGGAUGCCGGUGGAUACUGUCGGGCUAGAGUGCGGGAGAGGCGAGUGGAAUUCCUGGUGUAGCGGUGAAAUGCGCAGAUAUCAGGAGGAACACCGAUGGCGAAGGCAGGUCUCUGGGCCACUACUGACGCUGAGAAGCGAAAGCAUGGGGAGCGAACAGG